rnacentral:rRNA from 1 species
ACGGAAGGCAGCAGUGGGGAAUAUUGCACAAUGGGCGAAACCCUGAUGCAGCGACGCCGCGUGAGUGAUGAAGUAUUUCGGUACGUAAAGCUCUAUCAGCAGGGAAGAUAAUGACGGUACCUGAAUAAGAAGCCCCGGCUAACUACGUGCCAGCAGCCGCGGUAAUACGUAGGGGGCAAGCGUUAUCCGGAUUUACUGGGUGUAAAGGGAGUGUAGGUGGUCUGGCAAGUCAGAUGUGAAAGCCCGCGGCUCAACUGCGGGACUGCAUUUGAAACUGUCAGACUGGAGUGCAGGAGAGGAAAGUGGAAUUCCUAGUGUAGCGGUGAAAUGCGUAGAUAUUAGGAAGAACACCAGUGGCGAAGGCGGCUUUCUGGACUGUAACUGACACUGAGGCUCGAAAGCGUGGGGAGCAAACAGGAUUAGAUACCCUGGUA